AGAGAAAGAGCUCAUGGGAGAGUGAAAAGAAGCAAAUGAAAGAAAAACUUAAUCUCAAUUUAGGGAGUUCACUGCAAUCCAAGUAAGGGAGCUUUAUACUCUUGAAACUCUGAAUUCAAUAGGAAUAUUUGUUGUAUUUAUUAUACUAUGCCGUUAUGUGAUGUUGUUGUUGUAGUUUGAUGAUUGAAUAUUUUCCUUGCAUUAUUCCUAUUGUUGUUAUUGUUACUUACGCUUGAAUUUAAUUUUAUACAAAUUGUGUUGUUGAAACUGUGUGGAAUCAUCACUGAAAUUAGUGUCCUUAUUGUUGGAGAGUUUAGACGAACCUUGAGUUCAUAAAUGAGGAUGAGAUUAAGAAUUUGGAUAUAACCACCAGUUAAGAAAAGAAAAAAAAAAGAGAACAAAUGAAUUAUGUUUUGAAUCUAAUAAACCAUAAGAGAUGUUUUUGUUAUGUUAUAAGAAUCCUAAUCAGUUUUAAAACGAUUCUGGGAUGAUUUCAAGUCGCGAAACUAUUUGAUCUGAAAGCUUUGGGGUGAUUUUAAUGGUGGUGUUGUUGAAUUUCAAAGAGAACUUUAGUCUCAUUUUUAUAUGCGAUUCGAAUGACGAUUUUAAAAACUAACAUCGGGCAUCUUUCUAUAAUUGAAUGACGGUCAAAACGAUAUAAAACACGUCGAAUUCUGUUGAGAAAUGAGGGAGAACCUACUGGGUCAAAUCGCGGGUCGUCGCGACCCGUUUUCCUGCAACCGGGUGAAGGGGUGAUGAACAGUGCUCGAGUGGCCUCGCCCACUCGCAGCACCGGCGCGAGAGGGCGCGUGAGAGGUCAGGGAGGAUCCGUUUUUAAAAAUUGUUUUUAAAAACAAAUAGUAAAUAAUUUUCUUGAAAUUUUGGAACCGGUUUGAGAAUUUUCGGAGACCUGGAACUAUUUUUAGUUAAUUAAAUGAGGUAAAUAUGCUAUUAAAAAUAUUAGAAUUUAAUAAAAGAUUCCCAGAAUUUUAUUUAAGGUAUUUUUAAUAAUUUGGAACAAUUUGGGAUACCUCACUCUCUCUGGUUGUAUAUAAUCUUAAGGAUUUGAAUUUAUUUCACAAUUGUUAUUAAUUAAAUUGAUUUAAAAUUCAUACGUUUUGUGGAUAAACUAAACCGAGUUAAAUUGGGUUAAAGGUGCUGUUAAAGACGAGUAAUAAGUUGUUGUCAUGAGAGGAGUGAAUGACUAAUUGGGUUAUUAUAUUUUAGUUGGCGUUGUAAUCGAAGUUGCUAAUAAUUGUUGUGUAUCGGUGUUGUUUUAAGUCGUUGCUCGUUGAUAGUAAUUGUGUUGUUUCAAUUGUUGUUUUGUUGAAUAAUGAUGUUGAGCUACAUGGUUAUAACGAUGUUGAAUUAUCUAUUUUAAUGAUGUUGGAGUUGUGCCGAAAUUAUGAUGUUGUAAUUGUUAUUAUUGUAGUUUCUNNNNNNNNNNNNNNNNNNNNNNNNNNNNNNNNNNNNNNNNNNNNNNNNNNNNNNNNNNNNNNNNNNNNNNNNNNNNNNNNNNNNNNNNNNNNNNNNNUAAUGAAAUUGAAAAUAAUGACGUUGAUCCUCUAUGAUAUAAAACUAGAAAUGACGUUGCUAUUGGUACCACAUGCAUGUAGCAAGUCUAGGCGCAUUGGAUGCAUUUUAAUUAUAUUUCUUUAUUUAAAUGUUGUUGUUAUUUCUCUUUAUUUAAUUAACGAUUGAUGAUUGUGUUUGACUGAUGAAUGUGCGCGGCCAUCCGCUUAGGUGGUCUUGUUGUUGUUUAUGAUGUUGUUAGUUAUUGAGUUGUUUUAAUUCAGUUACUUUUUUGAUGUAUUUUGACUCACCUUUACAUUCCCCCUUCUGGCUUGGCCCUACGGUGUGCAACCGUAGAUUUUCAAGUAGGAGACGAAUCAUAGAUGAUGUGUUCGGAUAGCUGUUGCUUUGCUAUUUAUUUGGAGUCGCUCUGUUAGGAUGUUGUUGGGAGAAACUUUUAUUUAAUCAUGUUGUUAAAGUUUUAUAACAAUUGAG
rnacentral:lncRNA from 1 species